CCGGCGCCUGAGCUGGCUUAGCCUCGUCCGCGCGCCUGGUCGCGCCCCUCGUGGCUCCCGCGCGGUGUAGAGCCUCUUCGCGUGCCUUUGGCCGCCCUGCUGCCGGGUCCUGCACAUACACACAACUGACUCACACACACACACACACAGUUUUACUCUUGCCUGCCCUGUAUGUACACAUGCACCUGGCUUUCUUGCUUGUCAUGUGUGCACACACAUAUGCACGUGGCCUUUGCCUGUCACAUACCCAUGCAUGUGUGUGCACACACGGCUUUACCUUUUCCUGUCACACACACAAACACAUACACAUGUAGGGCUUUACCUUUGCCUUUCAUGCCCGUGCACACACAGCUUUACUCUUGUCUAUCACUAUUGCAUACAUGUGUGGCUUUACCUUUGCUCAUCACACGCAUGCACACACAGCUUUACCCUUGCCUAUCACACGUGCAGAUGUGCACAGACCCCUGGCACCUCCCCCCCCCGCUUUACUCUUGCUUGUCUCACACACACACACACACACACACACACACACGACUUUCCUCUUGCCUAUCACACAUGCACAUGCACACAUGUACCUGGCUUUCUUGCUUGUCACGUGCACACACAUGCAUGUGGCCUUUGCCUGUCACAUACACAUGCAUGUGUGCAUGCACACACACAUGGCUUUACCCUUGGCAAUCACACACACGUGCACGUGGCUUUACCCUUGCCUGUUACACGCAUGCUUACGUGGCCCUGCUGAAUCCCCCUCUCCCAAAGCAUCUGCCACAGUAUGAGAGAAAACCCGUGUUGAACACCUAACCCUGACGUCCAGUGGCCAAGAGUUGCUGGGAUCCCUGGAGCAGGCUGGGCUGCCCUUUGGCGGUGUCCAGGGCAGGGGCAGAGGGGAAGAGCUUUGUGUUGAUUCUCUGUCCUUCGCAGUUGAGGAUGAUUGUCUUCCAUGAUUGUCUUAUCUGUGUGUCUGAAGAUGGCUGAUGAGGCCUAUCCAGGACCGACUACACUGACAGACAGACUGUACUGCAGCUCAGACCCCUCCUUGUUUGAUGUCACUUGAACAGCUGUGACUGGCUGUGGUUACAAUGGAUCUAAGUUCUUGUCAGCUGGCAGGCUUUAAAAGGAAGGAAUUCUACCUGAUCAACACAUCAAAGAGCUACUCAACACAGCUCAAAGACUCUUUCAUGGACCCAGAGGGACAGCCUUCCAUCUUCAGCUCCCCCAGGACAGUUUUCUUGCCAUUUUCCAGUUGGUAAUAAAAGGACCUUUUCUCCAGCAUGCCUUUCUGGGUCUGCAUCUUUAAAUUUGAGAGAAGAGAACUGAUGCAGCCCUAUGUGACAAGUGUCUUUACUGCAUCUCCUGCUCCUCCAGUUGAAAGGAUGCAUCAAACCAAUGGUUUUGGUGGAAUUGCACAUACCGGGAUGAAAUUUCUAAAAUCUGAGAGAGCGGUACUCACACAUCCUAGAAGAGCCAGUGACCUAGGGGACAGGACAUUCACCUAUAAUAUGGACAACUAAGGUGUACAAGUUCUCGUUUGCCCCAUCCAAGGACCAGGCACCUAAGGAAGAAGCAGCCCGAGGAAUGCCCUCCACAGCAGAGUGGCAGACGGUCACAUCCAGGACCGGAGCUGCUCGCAGCAAACAGGUACCAGUUCCUCCAGUUCGACUGGAGAACAGGUACGAGGCCCUGGCGACCCUGCAGGAAAUGGAAGGAGAGGAGGAAACCCUUGGGCAGGAAGCAACACCACAUUCUCCACGCUCUGAACAAGUCAAGAGAUCCAAGAGGACCCAGAGGAGGAGGCGACGAGUGCUCGUCACAGGCGACUCCAUCCUGAGAGUGAACCGACGCGGAAGACGGCAUGAGAACUGCAUCAGAGAGACCAACUGGCGGCUUCAGCAGUGGUGUCUCGAGGCAGGCUUCAGCUUCCUGGACAAUGACCCACACAUUACGACGAGGGACAUCCUCAGUUGGGAUGGGCUUCACCUGUCCCCCAAAGGUAAGCGUGUGUUUUCUUCUAGGUUGGUGGAUCUCCUCCGGCGGGCUUUAAACUAGGCUCGUCGUGGGGAGGGGAAGAUGUGGACCACCAAACCCUGUGGCACCCACAAGGACAGCCCAGCCUGAAGAAGGAGAACAUUGGGAAUCUUCAAGCCAUGGGAUGGCCAGCACCACAGCACAGGUAAGCAAUGAGAAGGUAAGAAAUAAGGGGCCCCUUGGGAUUCGGAGCGGGGGGGGCAGCAAAGGCACCAGUCGCAGGGCUCAAGUGCCUAUAUACUAAUGCUAGGAGCAUGGGGAACAAGCAGGAUGAACUAGCGCUCCUGCUUGCACAAAACACCUAUGACUUAGUAGGGCUAACGGAAACCUGGUGGGAUUCAUCCCACGACUGGGUGGUACAUAUUGAGGGUUACAGAUUGUACAGAAAGGACAGGGUGGGGAAAAAAGGGGGAGGGGUUGCGCUGUAUGUCAAUGAGCAAUAUACAUCGACCCUCAUCAAGACGGAAUCGAAGGAUGAGGAAGUAGAAGGAUUGUGGGUUAGGCUACAUGGGGGGCAAGGAGAAAGGGAUUUGGUGGCAGGGGUCUGCUACAGACCCCCCACACCAAGAGGAAGAACUAGAUUCGGGGCUCCUGAGGCAGCUCUCGGAGACCAUAAACGCUAAAGAGGCAGUAGUCCAGGGGGACCUAAACUACCCAGACAUCUGCUGGGAGACGCAGACAGCAAAGUCCCACCGCUCACGCAGGUUUCUAACCUGUGUACAGGACCUCCACCUGACACAGGAGGUACACGGUCCCACUAGGGGAAAUGCCAUACUGGAUCUGGUAUUGGCAACGGGGGAUGACAUGGUAGGGGACCUACAGAUCGGUAGCCAUCUGGGGGACAGUGAUCACCUAAUAAUAGAAUUCUUUAUAAAACGUUGAGUGGGUAAGGUAACUAGUAGGGUGAAAGUGCUAGACUUUAGGAAAGCUGAUUUCAAUGAACUCAGACGAUUAGUCAAGGACGCACUGCAGAGUAGGAGUUUUGAAGUGAUGGGAGCCCAAGAAGGGUGGCUGUGCCUUAAGGAAAUGAUCCUUCAGGCACAAAGCGUGACGAUCCAGAUGCGAGGAAAAAGAGGGAAAGGGGCCAGAAGGCUUCCUUGGCUGACCAGAGAAAUCCAGGGCAGCUUAAGGGCCAAAAGGGGAGCGCAUAAAAAGUGGAAACAGGGAGAAAUCACCAAAGAUGAAUAUACCUCCUCUGCUCGUGCUUGUAGGGAGGCAGUUAGACGGGCCAAAGCUACCGUGGAGCUGAGGAUGGCAUCCCAAGUAAA